GAAGGCACUUGUCUAGACCGUUUYYMUUWAUCAAGAACGAAAGUGAGAGGUUCGAAGACGAUCAGAUACCGUCCUAGUUCUCACUGUAAACUAUGCCGACCUGGGAUUAGUUUGGGGAUAUUACAAGCUCUAGAUUAGUCCCCCUGGGAAACCUUAAGUUUUUCGGUUACGGGGAGAGUAUGGUCGCAAGGCUGAAACUUAAAGGAAUUGACGGAAGGGCACCACCAGGGGUGGAGCCUGCGGCUCAAUUUGACUCAACACGGGGAAACUUACCUGGUCCGGACAUCGAUAGGAUAGACAGACUGAUAGAUCUUUCUUGAUGCGAUGAGUGGUGGUGCAUGGCCGUUCUUAGUUCGUGGAGUGAUCUGUCAGGUUAAUUCCGGUAACGAACGAGACCACAGUCUCCAUUUAAGGCGCGUGAGAAGGGCUCUAAGAUGGGUGUGCUUUGCGGCGUGCUUUUUUUUAGUGGCCCGUUGGCAAAUCUUAUGAUUACGUUAUAGUUUAGCAAAAUGAGCAAUCACGAUGCGAAGAUUAUGGCGUACGAGUUGGAUUUCCCUUUCGUUUAGCAGUAGCUGGUUUCGAUUGGCUGCUGUCUUAUGGAGAGACAACGAGGUAUAUAUAAGCUCGAGGAAGAGUGGCUAUAACAGGUCAGUGAUGCCCUUCGAUGUUCAGGGCUGCACGCGCGCUACAAUGAUGACGACAGCAAGUAUCUGGGUCGAGAGACUUGGGGUAAUCUAUAAUCGUCAUCGUGAUGGGGAUUGACCGUUGUAACAUCGGUCAUGAAAGAGGAAUCCCCUAGUAUAUGUAUUUUAUUAGAAUACAUAGACUUAGUCCCUGCCCUUUGUACACACCGCCCGUCGCUACUACCGAGUGAAUGGUGUCAUGAUGCCUUGGGACUGGACGUGGAAUGGGCUCUCGGGUCUGCUCAACGCUGGGAUCAAUGUAAAAUGGCGCAAUUUCNAGGAAGUAA
rnacentral:rRNA from 2 species